GACGAACGCUGGCGGCGUGCUUAACACAUGCAAGUCGAACGGAAAGGCCCUGCUUUUGUGGGGUGCUCGAGUGGCGAACGGGUGAGUAACACGUGAGUAACCUGCCCUUGACUUUGGGAUAACUUCAGGAAACUGGGGCUAAUACCGGAUAGGAGCUCCUGCUGCAUGGUGGGGGUUGGAAAGUUUCGGCGGUUGGGGAUGGACUCGCGGCUUAUCAGCUUGUUGGUGGGGUAGUGGCUUACCAAGGCUUUGACGGGUAGCCGGCCUGAGAGGGUGACCGGCCACAUUGGGACUGAGAUACGGCCCAGACUCCUACGGGAGGCAGCAGUGGGGAAUAUUGCACAAUGGGCGGAAGCCUGGUGCAGCAACGCCGCGUGCGGGAUGACGGCCUUCGGGUUGUAAACCGCUUUCGCCUGUGACGAAGCGUGAGUGGCGGUAAUGGGUAAAGAAGCACCGGCUAACUACGUG
rnacentral:rRNA from 1 species